rnacentral:lncRNA from 1 species
AUGGGUGUUAAUGAUAGGACUAGGAUCAGGAGUGGAAAGAGAUAAGAGGUAAUAAGAAUAAGACGGGUGGGUAAUCUCUAUGUCUCAACUUUAAGAUCCGAGGCUCUGCUGUAGGAUAGACAGAAACUUAUACCAUCUAUUACCAUUAAUAGAAUCCAGUCAUUAAUCGCAAAGGUGGCGACAUAAACCAUGAUGGAUGGUUGUACUAGGAAAA